rnacentral:lncRNA from 1 species
CCAAGAAACAGAACUGUUUAUAACACUAGCUUACUGCCUGUAUACCUAGACAUCUUGUUCUUAAGAAUUUGAAAUUUCAGAAUAAAAUUGGCUCCUGCACAGCUAUACUUGAUAAAUUCUUGGUCAUGAUAGGCAUACAUAAAAUUUUUAGUAUUAUAGUAGUAUUGUUUGAAAAAAAGAUUAAAUUAUUCUUAGCUUUAGAGUUGGGAAAACUCUGUUUUGGAGAACAGAUGCUAAUGAAAUCCUUUAGCCAGCCCCAGGAGUUUUGAGCCUAAUCUAAGAGUGUGUUUUUAAAUUUAAUAGCACAAAAUCAGUUUCUAAUUGGGGUGGAAUGAAAGCAGUAUAGAGCAGAUGUUGGAGAAUCAUCUUGUCAAACCUGGUACCAUUUCUCAGUCUUUGUUUUUUUCCUUGAAGACACGACUUAGUUUCUUUUACUUUAAUUUUUCUAUUUAAUAAUUUUGUUCUGCGUAUGCCUGUGUCAAUUACCAAACAAAUCGAAAACAUUCAGAAAUCUAUG